AAGCGGCAACAGCUCAAAUUUGAAAUCUGGCUUCGGCCCGAGUUGUAAUUUGCAGAGGAUGUUUAUGGUGCGGUACCUUCCGAGUUCCCUGGAACGGGACGCCACAGAGGGUGAGAGCCCCGUCUGGUUGGAUACCAAACCUGUGUUAAACUCCUUCAACGAGUCGAGUAGUUUGGGAAUGCUGCUCUAAAUGGGAGGUAAAUCUCUUCUAAAGCUAAAUACUGGCCAGAGACCGAUAGCGCACAAGUAGAGUGAUCGAAAGAUGAAAAGCACCUUGAAAAGGGGGUUAAACAGUACGUGAAAUUGUUGAAAGGGAAGCGUUUAUGACCAGACUUGUGUCGUGUGGCUCAUCCGAGGUUCUCCCCGGUGCACUCCACGCGGCUCAGGCCAACAUCGGUUCUUGUUGGAGGAUAAGAACAGUAGGAACGUAGCUCUCCUUCGGGGGAGUGUUAUAGCCUAUUGUACGAUACUCUGACGGGGACCGAGGACCG
rnacentral:rRNA from 1 species